UGUGCAUUCAAGCUCUCAAAUCAAACAUCCAUGGCUUUUCUUUUUCUCUAAUAUAUAUUCUUCUUUACUUCUUCAAAUCAGGGAAUCCCCAAACCUUAGACAUAUUUCCCCUCAAUAUUCAUCACUGCCGGUGUCUUCUUCAAAAAGCUACGAAUUUGAGGAAGACAAAUCAUUGUAUCCCGUCGCAACCUCUCUCUUGCGUAAGAAUCUCUAUCUAUCCGUUAAUUAUAUUCCAGAUAUUUUCAUACUUUUAUCAUUUUCUCAUGAUCAUAUUUUGUUGUUUGGCCUGAGAAACUAUGCGCAGUUGAGUUGUUCAAUAUAUUGUUGUUGGAACAGUUACAUAUUUGGAACUCACUAUAACUCUUAAGCAUAAAAAGAUGACCGCAAACAUGAAGUCCAUCAUCUAAUCGUGCAACAACCAUCAGAUUCAACCAUUAAAGAAUCAGUUUCAUUUACUAUAAGAAACAGUCUUUAGGUGACACGAUCUCUUACCUUUUAUUAUUGCUGCCAUCAUGUUUUGUUUGUCAUGAAAUGACUUAUUUACCUAGACUAAAAGCAUUCUCAACAUCAGUGUCUUUUUGACUAAAAUAUUAAAGUCUUUGCUUAAUGAUUCAGAGCAGGUUUUGGACAAACAUAACACUUCCCAUUGUUCACUUUGUCUAAGGUGAUUUGGCAAGGAAGGGCCUAAGACUCACGGUUCAUAGAUUGAGAGCUAAGAAACAGAGGGGUAACCCAUUGACACCAGAAGAAACUGAUUUACUCCUUUCAGCUUUGGGUUUCUCUUCGAUAUGUCUCAGUUUACUCUACUGAAUCUUUUUCUCUUGAUGGACCAUUAGUAUUUGGUGGCCUUCCAAGGGACGUGUUGUGGAGAUAUAGGGUCCUGAAGUAUUAGAAAAAAAAAAAAACGGGCUGAAGCAUUGAAACAAGGAGGUUAUUGUAGUUUUUUUAACUCUUCGUACUGAACCUUAUUCGAUUUGAAAGGCCUUGACUCCUCACUUGCUAAGAUAAUCAGUGUAAAUACAGAGAAAUGACGUCUAUUAGAGCCUGAUUGGUGCAAACAGGCCCUUGGUCCUCUGGACACUUCAGUCUGCAGUUGUUCAGUUGGUGUUAUUGGUGCUGACAGUGUAGGAGAACUUGAGGAUGAGAUGGGUGAUGCUCAUAUGGCUAUCCAAGCCAAGUUGAUGAGCCAAGCUUUCCAUAAACUGAGCCACUCUUUGUCGUUAUGGCAAAACCUUAUCAUCAUUAUAAAUCAGGUAUAGAACUUCUGUAGGUGAGUUUUGUAGAUGAGUUCAUGUAUUUGUCUUAUGAAAAUCUCUUAUGUGAAUGUAUCUUCUCUGCGCAUUGUUUUAUGUUCAAGUGAGAGCAACACUUUCUGCAUUCGGAGGAUUUGGAAGUCCAACAGAAGUUAGUUGUGUUGGGAAUGUAUUGAAGUUUUAUGCUUCAUAUAUGUCUAAAUAUCAGGUCAAGAAAGGUGAAGAACUGAAGAAAUAAGUAUCCAAAACUUGGUCACAAAUUGAGUAUGUUAUUGCCUUUAAUAAAUUGGGCUUUAUGUUGGGAAUGUCCUAAAAUCAUUUGUACUUACUCUUGUUAAAGUCGUAAGUCGAGGUUCGACAAUCGUAUAAAAU